rnacentral:rRNA from 1 species
UACGGAGGGUGCAAGCGUUAUCCGGAUUUACUGGGUUUAAAGGGUGCGCAGGCGGAUAUGUAAGUCAGUGGUGAAAUCUUUGGGCUUAACCCGAAAAUUGCCAUUGAUACUAUAUAUCUUGAAUGCUGUGGAGGUAAGCGGAAUAUGUCAUGUAGCGGUGAAAUGCUUAGAUAUGACAUAGAACACCUAUUGCGAAGGCAGCUACUACGCAGAUAUUGACGCUCAUGCACGAAAGCGUGGGGAUCAAACAGG